CAUAUUAAAAUAGUUUAUUUCGUUUUUCACUUUAAACAAACCGAAGGCGGCAAGGUAGCCUAGUGGUUAGAGUUGCACUAGUAACCGAAAGGUUGCAAGUUCAAAUCCCUGAGCUGACAAGGUACAAAUCUGUUG